UACGUAGGGACCAAGCGUUGUUCGGAUUUACUGGGCGUAAAGGGCGCGUAGGCGGCGCGGUAAGUCACUUGUGAAAUCUCUGAGCUUAACUCAGAGCGGCCGAGUGAUACUGCAGUGCUAGAGUGUGGAAGGGGCAAUCGGAAUUCUUGGUGUAGCGGUGAAAUGCGUAGAUAUCAAGAGGAACACCUGAGGUGAAGACGGGUUGCUGGGCCAACACUGACGCUGAUGCGCGAAAGCCAGGGGAGCAAACGGG
rnacentral:rRNA from 1 species